UUUAGUCAUUAUAUUCACUGCGGUGGUAUUUAGGCCAUGUCGCACGAGGAGUUUUAGGCGGGCAAUUUAAACUGGUCGUGUGCAUACGUGCAUAUAUAUGUAUGUAUACAUUCAUAUAUGUAAGUAUAUCAUAUAUUGUAUAUAUAUAUAUUUAUUUGUAUUUAUGUGCUAUCUGAGUAUAUUCCACUGAUGAAGGCAGAGCAUUUCUUAUGCAGGGCCAGAAAUCCAGCCACCUUUAGUCAAGCAAAUCGACCCCAGGACUUAUUCUUUGUAAGCCUAGUACUUAUUCUAUCGGUCUCUUUUGCCGAACCGCUAAGUUACGGGGACAUAAACACACCUGCAUCGGUUGUCAAGCAAUGUUGGGAGGGGGACAAACACAGAAAACAAAUACACACACACACACACACACACACACAUAUAUAUAUAUAUAUAUAUAUAUAUAUAUAUAUAUAUAUAAUAAUAAUAAUAUUAGGGAGUAAAUCCAAACUUACAGGGAAAAAUUAGAUUUAGGAUUAAAUCUAAUUUUACAGUAUAAAUAUAUAUAUAUAUAUUAAAUUAAUUUUAUUUCUAUGUUUUGGUUUAUGUUUUUCACUGUUUGAUUUGCCUAAUAGUAGUUUUAUCUCUAAUUUAAUAUAUAUAUAUAUACAUAUAUACGAUGGGCUUCUUUCAGUUUUCGCCUACCAAAUCCACUCACAAGGCUUUGGUCAACCCAAGGCUAUAGUAGAAGAAUCCGGAACCAUGUGGCUGGUAAGCAAGCUACUUACCACACAGCCACUCCUGCGCCUAUGUUUGUUUAUGAAAUUUAAUUCUUAAUAUUUUGUUUUUAUUUUUCUAGGACCAGAUGGCUGCUUUGGAGAAUCUUCUAGAAGAAUUACGUCAGAUCAAUAAACUUAGUGUUAAUAUGGAACAAAAAAUGCAAUAUUCAAGUGCCAUUGCUAAGUACCAAGGACUGAAAAUGCAUCUUCUUAAAAAAUUUGACUACCGUAACAAAAGAACUGGCCUCCUUAUAGAUUCGCUUCCUGUAAUUUGUGACAUCUGCCAAGACUACAAACGUUAUGUAAAUUGCUCUCAGGAGAAUUAUAUUUUUAAGUUGUGUGGAUUGAGAUCACAUAUAAAGAACUUUGAUCUUCAAGAAUUAAGUUUACAAAGUUAAAUGAUUAUUUCACUAACAUUGUUCGGCAAUUUUCCAUGGAAACGGUUUAUUGGUAAGAUAAGAUGAAAGGGAAAUGAUGAAUCAGAUGAGACUAAAUUCCUUAUUCUAUUAUAUUCUAAUAAACUUAUUUGUUCUCUUUACUCCUUUUACUCUUUUACUUGUUUCAGUCAUUUGACUGUGGCCAUGCUGGAACACUGCCUUUAGUCGAGCAUAUCAACCCCAGGACUUUUGCCGAACCGCUAUGUUAUGGGGAUGUAAACACACCAGCAUCGGUUGUAAAGCGAUGUUGGGGGGGACAAACACAGACAUACAAACAUACACACACACACACACACACAAAUACACACACACAUAUAUAUACAUAUAUACAACGGGCUUCUUUCAGUUUCCAUCUACCACAAGGUUUUGGUUGGCACAAGGCUGUAGUAGAAGACACUUGCUCAAGGUGCCAUGCAGUGGGACUGAACCCUGAACCAUGUGGUUCGUAAGCAAGUUACUUACCACACAGCCACUCCUGCGCCUAUAGGAUAAGUGCCAGACUUAAAAGAUAAACAAGUACUACGGCCAAUUUCUUUGACUGAAAACCUUGAAGGAAGUGCCCCAAUAUGGCCACAGUCUAAUGACUGAAACAAGUAAAAGAUACAACAUAGAAGACAGCUUUAUUUGUAGAGAGGGGACACCUAACACUAACUAACACACCCUUUCAGCUGUAUUGGGUUCUCCUUUUUUAUAAUUACCUUUAUUUUCCUACUGUUUCUUUGCCCUCACCAUCACAUUCUCAGUCACUGUUGUGCUCCUCUGUACUCCAACACCCUCCAAGCUACACUUCACUUUGCCUUACUAAUGUGCCUACUCCCGUUCAUGUUUCUUGUCUGUACGCCUACCUCCCUCCGUACUGCUUGCAACAACUUCUCCAGUACUUCUCUCUAUUAUUAGCCCCGCCCCUUUUUUUAAAUAAAAAGUACUUCACCAUCCGAGCGUGAUUGUUGCCAGAGUGGCUGUCUGGCCUCCGUGCCGGUGGCACGUAAUAGACAUCAUUCGAGUGUGAUUGUUACCAGCAUCACUUCACUGGCACCUGUGCCGGUGGCAUGUGUAAAAGAUUCGAGCGAGGUCGUUGCCAGUACCGCCUGACUAGACCCAUGCCAGUGGCAAGCAAAAGCACCCACUACACCCUUGGAGUGGUUGGCGUAAGGAAGGGCAUCGAGCUGUAGAAACUCUGCCAGACCAAGAUUGAAGCCUGGUGCAGCCAUCUGGUUCGCCAGCCCUCAGUCAUUCGUCCAACCCAUGCUAGCAUGGAAAGCGGACGUUAAACGAUUCUGAUGAUGAGGAUUCCCUUGACACACUCACCCCUUCAUCUUCUGAAAGAAAAUGCCAAGAAUUUGUUGCACAAGGAUGUUCAGGUAUUUAAAUGUGUGCUAGUUGGUACUAUCUGUGCUCUUAUGUUUAUGACUAAUACUAUCUCAGAAUUGAACUUUCUUGUAUAUAAUAUGCAUUAUUAUAUUAAUCAUUCACUGAUCAUUUGAAACAGCUGUAAAGACAAGAUCUUCAUGUAUCAUUUAUAAAUCGUAUUUGCAAUUUUUAAUAUUAAUACAUCUGUUAUUGUUGGUCUAUCAUUCUUCAAUAUGUAUGUAUGCAUAUGUGUAUCUAUCUAUCUAUCUAUCUAUCUAUCUAUCUAUCUAUCUAUCUAUCUAUCUACAUGUCUGUCUGUCUAUCUAUCUAUCUAUCUACAUGUCUGUCUGUCGUUCUGUCUAUCUAUCUACCUGUCUGGCUGUAUGUAUGUAUGUGAUAUAUAUAUAUAUAUAUAUAUAUAUAUAUGUGUGUGUGUGUGUGUGUGAAUACACAAACACUUCUUUAUGUUAUAAUUUCUAUUCAUAUUCUGUGAAUUGUAUGAGUCACAGAAAAUAAAGUAGGAGAAAAACCAAUCUACCUUUCCUUAGAGAUUUAUGGGCCAAAGUUGUACAGUGGUGUUACCACUAUGAGUGAGUGGGGGAAGUUUGCUAUUGGUUUCCCAGAACCCUUUCAGGUUACCAACAGGAUCAACGAUACUCUUUCUUUU
rnacentral:lncRNA from 1 species